UACGAAGGGGGGCUAGCGUUGUUCGGAUUUACUGGGCGUAAAGCGCACGUAGGCGGAUCGAUCAGUCAGGGGUGAAAUCCCAGAGCUCAACUCUGGAACUGCCUUUGAUACUGUCGAUCUGGAGUAUGGAAGAGGUGAGUGGAAUUCCGAGUGUAGAGGUGAAAUUCGUAGAUAUUCGGAGGAACACCAGUGGCGAAGGCGGCUCACUGGUCCAUACUGACGCUGAGGUGACGAAAGCGUGGGGAGCAACAGGAUUAGAACCUUACCG
rnacentral:rRNA from 1 species